ensembl:lncRNA
UACAUUUUCACAGUAGUGUGUUUAUUCAAGGAUGAAAAAGCAACAGUACCAUGAAGAAUCAUUGAUUGCAAGUCUAUAGAUGCAGGAUAACACAUAAAAAUGGAAAAUGGGUCAGACUGUAAAUACAAUUCAUCAUAAAUGUGUGUGAAUCAAAAGAAAAAUUGAAUAGUGGAUAGAACAAAAAGCUUCAUCACAAGUAGUUUAGUAUCAUGUAUAAUGUGCACAGUAAUGCAAAAAGUACAAAACAAUAGUGUAGGGUCGCGAGAGUUUACAAUCAUGUAAGGGAGUACAGCAAUAUGGAGGUUAAUGCCAUGCAGUCCUUAUAUGGGCCUAGACUUCCUCUGCCUGCAUGAAACAUCGUAAAUACACCAUAGUAGUUUUUUUUAUAUAACAAAAGCAAGGAUGUAUCAGGCCUCUACACUGUCAACCUUCAAUUUCCCAUUUGGUACCUAAUGUUGUUCAAAGAAAAAAAAAAAAGGAAACAACAUUUCAUAGCCAUAACUCGUCGAUUCCCUUGGGCAGAGUUUGUCGAUAUUUCAUCUCUUGUCUCAGAGUGGUUAAUCUGGCAAGCUCAAAACAAACUAAUUGUGUUCCCAUCAUCGAUUAUAUAUUACAGAGUAAAUACUUCUUUUUUUUUCACAGGGAAGUGUCUGCACAGCUUUCAGGACGUAAAACCCUCUCUAAGUGAUACCCCAAACAUUGCCUAUUCUUAUAGAUUGCAACAUUCGAAUAGUGACUGAGACAUGAGAAGUGGUUUAGAAAGAAAGACCGGUUCACAGUGCUUUCACAGACGUAAUGCAGGUCUACGAGAGCUGAAAAUAACAUCAAAUAUGAGAUACCAUUCAUUCAGCAUGAGACAUUUGUGUAUGGACUCUGCUUUUCAUUGUAUUUAGAAGAAGACAGCACCCAUGUCAAAAGCAAGCCGGUUAAAAAGGUAAAAGCAACUGAACAAAGUGAACAAACCAGUUUUUUUUUUACCACAUUCCUUCAUAUUGAACAGCACAUAAGGCGAUACUGUCAAAAAUGUAAUCCUUGACAUUAGCUGUAUAUCGGUCACCCUUCGAGAUUCGCAUCAAGCGCAUAGCAACGCAAGUUAAAGCUCAUAUAGUUCUCCUACAGCGAAGCAUACUGCUCUAUCAAUUUGAAAAACAUCUUCAUAGGUUGGUUUGAAAAAAAUUGAGCAGUGGGAACUAGGUUAUGAAUGGGUUAUUGCAAUAGAAGAUAGAAAUCAGAUUUUAUUUUGACUAUGGAUUAAGCAUAUAAUUUUCUCAACACAAGAUGGCCGACAUUGUUGCUUGUAUCUUGUAUCAAGCGGGUUUAGGAGUUGUAGUUUUCCACUUUGGAACCAGUAAGAGGAAACAGGCUUUCAGGCUAUUCUUUUUGUAUUUUUAUACUCAGAAGACUCAAAAGUCCUUUGUUACAAUCCCAGUUCAUAUCAGUAAAAACAGAGCAACAUGUUAAAGGCAGGACAAUAAAAGCCUGAAAUCAACAUGUUCACACACAUCCAGUGUGCGAACAUGUGGAGUUACACGUGCACAAAAAUAAAAUGCAGAGGCAAAAACAAAAUUAGUGAUUAAAUCACUCUGACCUAAGAAGCCGCUAAAAGUUCCAAACAUUUCUAAAGCCGCCCAACCUGUUGCUUAAUGCUGUAUAAAAAAUUGGCACACUCUAACAAGGAGGCGCAGGUUAAUAAGCCAAUGAUGAAUCUAAUAUCAAAACGUUGAAAAUAACAGACUCCAAGUUUGUGAGUGGCUUUUUUCGCAGUGGGUGAAAUGGCAGAGGACGAAAAAUAUUAUAUUUAUAUAUAUAAAAUAAAAGAGAUGUAAGCCAGACUUCCCCCCCCUCAUGACAGACCUAUCGCUCUCCUCCUCUAGGCCUCUGCCUUCUUUUUGUUCUUCUUCAGGAAGGACGGAGUGCGGAACUUCUUCUUCUUUUUGGAGGGAGAUUUGCUGGGGGACUCGUCGCCGUCCUCCUCGCCGGGCUCCUCCCCUUCCGCCGCCGCCGCAUCCGUCACUACCGCAUCCGUCACUACCGCAUCCGUCACUACCGCAUCCGUCGCCGCCUCCUCCUCCGGCGCAGCCACCGUUUCCGUGGCAACCGGGCCGGGGGCGGAGUCUUCGGCUUCCGGGAGUGCGGGGGCGGCGUCGGAGGGGUCGUCCGGGGUCAGGUCGGGCAGGGUCUGUCGGAGGGUGGCGCCGUCGCUCUCGUCCUUGGAGGUGGGGUCCGGUUGCUUGGCCUCCUCCUCUUCCUCAGCGGGGUGCUCUUCGUCU